rnacentral:rRNA from 1 species
GAUGAACGCUGGCGGCGUGCCUAAUACAUGCAAGUCGAGCGAACGGACGAGAAGCUUGCUUCUCUGAUGUUAGCGGCGGACGGGUGAGUAACACGUGGAUAACCUACCUAUAAGACUGGGAUAACUUCGGGAAACCGUAGCUAAUACCAGAUAAUAUUUUGAACCGCAUGGUUCAAAAGUGAAAGACGGUCUUGCUGUCACUUAUAGAUGGAUCCGCGCUGCAUUAGCUAGUUGGUAAGGUAACGGCUUACCAAGGCAACGAUUCAUAGCCGACCUGAGAGGGUGAUCGGCCACACUGGAACUGAGACACGGUCCAGACUCCUAAGGGAGGCAGCAGUAGGGAAUCUUCCGCAAUGGGCGAAAGCCUGACGGAGCAACGCCGCGUGAGUGAUGAAGGUCUUCGGAUCGUAAAACUCUGUUAUUAGGGAAGAACAUAUGUGUAAGUAACUGUGCACAUCUUGACGGUACCUAAUCAGAAAGCCACGGCUAACUACGUG